GAGAGCCUACGGGGGGCAGCAGUGAGGAAUAUUGGUCAAUGGGCGCGAGCCUGAACCAGCCAAGUCGCGUGAGGGAAGACGGUCCUAUGGAUUGUAAACCUCUUUUGUCGGGGAGCAAAAGACGCCACGAGUGGCGUUCCGAGAGUACCCGAAGAAAAAGCAUCGGCUAACUCCGUGCCAGCAGCCGCGGGAAAACGGAGGAUGCGAGCGUUAUCCGUAUUUAUUGGGUUUAAAGGGUGCGCAGGCGG
rnacentral:rRNA from 1 species